GACAGAGGGUGCAAACGUUGUUCGGAAUUACUGGGCGUAAAGCGCGUGUAGGCGGCCAUCUAAGUCGGGCGUGAAAUCCCACGGCUCAACCGUGGAAGUGCACUCGAAACUGGAUGGCUAGAGUCCUGGAGAGGAAGGUGGAAUGCUUGGUGUAGAGGUGAAAUUCGUAGAUAUCAAGCGGAACACCGGUGGCGAAGGCGGC
rnacentral:rRNA from 1 species